UAGGGAAUCUUCCGCAAUGGACGCAAGUCUGACGGAGCAACGCCGCGUGAGUGAAGAAGGAUUUCGGUUCGUAAAACACUGUUGUUAGAGAAGAACAGCGCAUAGAGUAACUGUUAUGCGUGUGACGGUAUCUAACCAGAAAGCCACGGCUAACUACGUGCCAGCAGCCGCGGUAAUACGUAGGUCCCGAGCGUUGUCCGGAUUUAUUGGGCGUAAAGCGAGCGCAGGCGGUUAGAAAAGUCUGAAGUGAAAGGCAGUGGCUCAACCAUUGUAGGCUUUGGAAACUGUUUAACUUGAGUGCAGAAGGGGAGAGUGGAAUUCCAUGUGUAGCGGUGAAAUGCGUAGAUAUAUGGAGGAACACCGGUGGCGAAAGCGGCUCUCUGGUCUGUAACUGACGCUGAGGCUCGAAAGCGUGGGGAGCGAACAGG
rnacentral:rRNA from 1 species